GACAUGGCUAAAUGGAUCUUUAGGAAGAAGGGUCAGGCGCCUCUGGAAGGGAUGGUUUGGCCUACAGAGAGAAAACAGAGAGAAUGGGCAAGGGGUCAUGGAUGGACCGGAGAUGGGAUGGUAGGGCAGAAACUGCAGGGUCCGCAGAAGGAACUGCUCACCGAAAGCCAACAAGCUUGCCCUGUGGAAUCCCAGAAAGGCCCAGGAACUUCGGGACAUCACUGAAGGCAGAGUGAAGAGAGGAAAAGAGGACAGAGAAAUGGAGGGGAGAAAACUAUUAAAAUAAGUAAUAAGAAAACUUUCCCCAGAAGUGCAGAAUCUGAAUUUCCAGUAUAAAAGGGUCCAUUGAGCGCCAAGAACAAUGAAGGAAAAAAGGUCCCACUCAGGCCUACGUAUCAUUGUGAAAUUUCAGAACUAGAGGGAUAAAGAAAAGAUCCUAAAAGCUUCCUGAGAGAUAAAAAAGAAGGUUUUUACAAAGGAUCAGCAAUCAGAAUUGCCUCAGACUGCUCAAUAAAAACAUCAGAAGCUAGAAGAAAAUAGAGUUAGGCAUCAAAAUCCUGAGGGAAAUGAUUCCCACCUAUAAUUUCAUAUUCUGCUCAAUUAUCAAUUGAGUAUUGAAGAGAAAUAAAGACAUUUUUAGACA